rnacentral:rRNA from 1 species
CCCUUAGAUGUUCUGGGCCGCACGCGCGCUACACUGAUGCAUUCAACGAGUCCAACCUUGACCGAGAGGUCCGGGUAAUCUUUGAAACUGCAUCGUGAUGGGGCUAGAUUAUUGCAAUUAUUAAUCUUCAACGAGGAAUGCCUAGUAAGCGUGAUUCAUCAAAUCGCGUUGAUUACGUCCCUGCCCUUUGUACACACCGCCCGUCGCUCCUACCGAUUGAGUGUGUUGGUGAGGAGUUUGGAUUGGCCUCGGAAGGUGGUUCGCCACCGUCCGUAGCUGAGAAGUUCUCCAAACCGCCCCACUUAGAGGAGGGAGAAGUCGUAACA